CCUCCCCAACUCAACCUCAUCUUCCUCGCCCAACCUAACAUCAUCAUCUCCCAACUCAACGCUCUUCCUCCCCCAACUCAACCUCAUCUUCCUCGCCCAACUCAACACAAUCAUCUCCCAACUCAACCUCAUCUUCCUCCCCAACAUCAUCUUCCUCCCCAACUCAACAUCAUCUUCCUCUUCCAAUUCAUCACGCUCUUCCUCCUCCAACUCAACCUCAUCUUCCUCCCCAACUCAUCAUCAUCUUCCUCUUCCAACCCAACACAAUCAUCUCCCAACUCAACUCUUCCUCCCCAAAAUCAUCUUCCUCCCCCAACCCAACCUCAUCUUCCUCCCCCACUCAAUGUCAUCUUCAUCCCCAACCCAACCUCAUCUUCCUCUUCCAACUCAUCAUCAUCAUCUCCCAACUCAACGCCCUCUUCCUCCCCAACAUCAUCUUCCUCCCCAUCAACCUCAUCUUCCUCCCCAACCUCAUCUUCCUCACCCAACUCAACCUCAUCUUCCUCUUCCAACUCAACAUCAUCUUCAUCCCCAACUCAUCAUCAUCUUCCUCCCCCAACUCAACCUCAUCUUCCUCACCCAACUCAAUGUCAUCAUCUCCCAACUCAACGCCCUCUUCCUCCCCAAUGUCAUCUUCCUCACCCACUCAUCAUCAUCUUCCUCACCCAACUCAACCUCAUCUUCAUCCCCAACUCAACGCUCUUCCUCCCCAACCUCAUCUUCCUCCCCAACUCAACAUCAUCUUCCUCCCCAACCCAACCUCAUCUUCCUCCCCCAACUCAACCUCAUCUUCAUCCCCAACUCAACAUCAUCUUCCUCCCCAACUCAUCGCGCUCUUCCUCCUCCAACUCAACCUCAUCUUCCUCACCCAACUCAACGCAAUCAUCUCCCAACUCAACGCGCUCUUCCUCCCCAACCUCAUCUUCCUCCCCCACUCAAUGUCAUCUUCAUCCCCAACCCAACCUCAUCUUCCUCUUCCAACUCAUCA
rnacentral:lncRNA from 1 species